rnacentral:rRNA from 1 species
GAUGAACGCUAGCUAUAGGCUUAACACAUGCAAGUCGAGGGGAAACGGCAUUAUGUGCUUGCACAUUUUGGACGUCGACCGGCGCACGGGUGAGUAUCGCGUAUCCAACCUGCCCUUUACUUGGGGAUACCCCGUUGAAACACGGCAGAAUACCCGAUGGAAUUCAUUGAUGUCAUCAGAUAUGAAGAAAUGAUUUAUCGGUAAAGGAUGGGGAUGCGUCUGAUUAGCUUGUUGGUGAGGUAACGGCUCACCAGGGCGACGAUAAGUAGGGGUUCUGAGAGGACGGUCCCCCACAUUGGAACGGAGACACGGUCCAAACUCCUACGGGCAGCAGCAGUCAGGAAUAUUGGGCAAUGGGCGUAAGACUGAACCAGCCAAGUAGCGUGCAGGAAGACGGCCCUAUGGGUUGUAAACUGCUUUUAUACGCGGAUAAUUUGAUGCACGUGUGCGUUAUUGAAUGUAUCGUAUGAAUAAGGACCGGCUAAUUCCGUG